rfam:Kluyveromyces lactis strain NRRL Y-1140 chromosome F complete sequence.
UUCCUCGUGGCCCAAUGGUCACGGCGUCUGGCUACGAUGUUAGCUACUUCUGAAACCAGAAGAUUCCAGGUUCGAGUCCUGGCGGGGAAG